rnacentral:piRNA from 1 species
UACCAAUGUGCCUCUCCAAAGCCAUCUCUGC